rnacentral:rRNA from 1 species
GUAGUCAUAUGCUUGUCUCAAAGAUUAAGCCAUGCAUGUCUAAGCACAAACCUUUACACGGUGAAGCUGCGAAUGGCUCAUUAGGCCACCCAUGAUUUAUUAGAUUGUACAAUCCUACUUGGAUAACUGUGGUAAUUCUAGAGCUAAUACAUGCAAGUAAGCUCCGACCCCUCGGGGGAAGAGCGCGUUUAUUAGAUCAAAACCAAUCGGGUCCUCGGAUCCGUACGUUUGGUGACUCUGGAUAACUUCGAGCUGAUCGCACGGCCUCGUGCUGGCGACGUAUCUUUCAAGUGUGUGCCCUAUCAACUGUCGAUGGUAAGUGAUAUGCUUACCAUGGUGGCAACGGGUAACGGGGAAU